GAGGAUUUAGCUUAAUUA
rnacentral:tRNA from 1 species